CAGAGCCUCAUGCAGUCAUGGAGGUAGCUGAAUCUAGCAUUUGUGACUGGUUCAUUGUCAAGUGCUGGGAUUGGCAGUGUGAGUGCUGUGUCCACCAGGCUGCACACAAGAGCAGUGAUGGAAGACGUUUCAGAUCUGUCAAUGAUAGCAACAUCCCACCGUGGCACGUGAGCCUUAGGUCCACCACCGCUGACCGAGGAAGAUGAGUACAUAACCUGCCACGAAGGCCGGCUUUGUCUUCUCCUUUUCAGUCCUUACGCUUCAUUUCUUACAGCAGUGCUGGGGAUGGAGCCUGGGGCCUCUGACCCGCUAGGCAAGGGCUCUACUACUGAGCUACAGCCCCAGCCCUGCGCUUCAGUCCUUUUCCUUAUCUUAUGGCAUCGGCUUAGUCCUCCAUUGUACCCUGAGGAAACAGUGAUAGUGGCAUGGUUGACUGUCCCUGCCCUGAAGAAGAUGCUUAUAGAGGUUCUUAGUAAGGUACUGCCAAAUGCAUGUUCUGCAUGGGUUGGGAUCAUUGUAGUGAUUGUUAGUGCAGCGACACCCAAAUGGCCAUUUCCGUGUUGAACAUUCUUGGAAUGAUCGCUAUGAUUUUUUAAUAUACUGUUGAGUACAGUUAGAUAGUAUUUUAGUGAGAAUUUUACACCCAUGUUCAUGAAAAAGGCUUCUAAUUUAUUGUGUGCAUGUAUCAUCCUUGUCUGCCUUGGAGGCAGAUGAAUGGGGUGGGCUUCUUUCUUUUCCUGUGUUCUAGACUGAGUUGUUUCAGAAGAAGUUUCUUAUUUCUUGGGAAUCUGAGGAAAACUCAGCCAUAUGAUUGAUGAUUUGGUUUGGGGGAUACUGAAGGAAAGGGGAGAGAUCUUUGAUUUAACUGUUUAAUAGUUGUUUAUUUUUAUACUGAUUUUUCCAGAUAUUUAAUGAUGUAUAAUUACUAAGAUACUCAUUUUAGUUAAUUGUUAUAUUGUAGCUGAUUUCAGUUUUUAAGUUUUUAUUAGCACGUUUCAUUACAAAAUGAUUACACUUGGUACGGGGAGUUGCGAUGUGUCCAUAACACAGCGUAACUCUGUUUUCUGCCCCAGCCCUCUCCCCCCUCUCUCCUCCUGCCCACCAGCACGAUUCAUAAAGCUAAAUCUUGGAAGCAGCCUACGUGUCCAUCAGCAGAUGAAUGGAUAAAAACGAUGAUAUUUGUAGGCAGUGGGGAACUAGUUUGCCAUUAAGAAGGAUAAACUUGAGUCACGGGAAAAUGGAUGGACCUUGAGAGCAUAAUAAUAAGGAAAUAAAUCAGACACAUGAGCUUAAAUACUGCAGGGUUUACCCUACAUAAGAAACCCAAAAAUACAUAAAGAGCAAAAUAAGAAAAUAGGAAAAGGGAGGUCUUUCUCAAAGAGGAAGAGGAACAGGAGACCGAGCAUGGGAAAGAAAGGGAAAAUGGAAGAAAAAAAGAAAUGGAAAAACAUGGACAGAACUUCUUGUUUAAAUCCUUAUUAUUUCUAUCGUCUCUCUCAUGAGAAGUUUAGUCUCUAAAGGACAAAAUUGAGACUUUUUUCAUAAUUCAUCUUUGUUUUAUGUAUUUCAUGGAUUCUUUUUAAAAAUUAUUAUUUCCUGUUUCUUUUCAUUUACUUGCUGCUUUUUUCUGCCUUUCCUCAAAUGACAGCUUGGUUGGUUUCCAGUUCCCUUCAUUUUUGGGUAAAUAGAGUCAUUAUGUGUACUGCCUCACUGUCUUCCAUGAAUUUGAUACGUGGUAAUUUCGCUAUCGCUGCGCUCUGAAGUCCUACUGACUUCCCUCACGGUUUCCUCUUAUUUAGUUGUAUGUUUUGAGUUUUGCAAUCUGGUACAAGUUUAAAAUGUUGUCAUUCUGUCAUAAAUCUCUAAUUGUGUCACCAGGUGAUCAGAGGUGACCUUGGGCACGAUACUGAGAAUUUCUGGAGGCUUCUUUACUGACGUCUCUAAUGGCACUGGAUGGUUCCAUGUUGGGUUGAAAGUUUUGUGUUAUCAGUCAGGUUACUCAAAUCUUUUGCAUCUCUGCUCAGAUUUUAUCAAUUUGACUACAGUUUCUGAGAGAGAUAUAUUAAAAUCCUAAAGGGCAACUGCUGAUUUAUCUGGCUGUUUCUUAUUGGGUGUGUAUUUCAAACUGAUAGGCUUUUAUGCAAAACAACCCACCCUGUGUAACAUUCCCAGGGCCCAGGGUCUCUGGGAGGACACUGUUUAUAUGAAACUAAGGUUCUGUUUGAACUGUGAUGUCUGCCGUGGGCUGCUCAUCUCUCUUUUCCUUCUGGUGGAUGAGCUCUUUGGGUGCCCAUUUUUUCUGUCAACUCACUAUUCCUUGGGAUGCAGCUCAGCUGGGUGGUAACAUGUAUUUGGGUGGGUAAGUCAGCUUUCUGUUGCUGUGACAAAAUACCCGAGAUAAACAACUUUGGGGAGGAACAAUUGUUUGGCUUAAGGUUCCAGAAAUUUCAGUGCGUGGUCACUUGGUCUCAUUGCCUUGGGCCUGGAGCAAGGCAGAACAUCAUGGCAGGGACUGCUGGUUGGAGAAAGACUGUUCAUUUCGUGGUGACCCGGAAGCAAAGAAAGAGAGGAGGGGCCGAGUCCCAGUGUCCUCUUCAAGGGCAUGUCCCUAAUGACCUAAUAUCCUCACACUGGGUUCUACCUCUUAAAGGUUCCACACCCAGUGGUGCCACAUGCCUGACAACCAAGCUCUUAACACAUGAGCCCUCAGGGGCAUUUGAGAUUCAAACCAUAAUUCCAGGAAAGGACCAAAAGCCUGGAAUUUAGUCUCUAUCUGAGCUAUGCAUUGAA